AGAGUUUGAUCAUGGCUCAGAACGAACGCUGGCGGCAGGCCUAACACAUGCAAGUCGAGCGAGACCUUCGGGUCUAGCGGCGGACGGGUUAGUAACGCGUGGGAACGUACCCUUUUCUACGGAAUAGCCUUUGGAAACGAAGAGUAAUACCGUAUACGCCCUUCGGGGGAAAGAUUUAUCGGAGAAGGAUCGGCCCGCGUUAGAUUAGAUAGUUGGUGGGGUAAUGGCCUACCAAGUCUACGAUCUAUAGCUGGUUUUAGAGGAUGAUCAGCAACACUGGGACUGAGACACGGCCCAGACUCCUACGGGAGGCAGCAGUGGGGAAUCUUAGACAAUGGGCGCAAGCCUGAUCUAGCCAUGCCGCGUGAGUGAAGAAGGCCUUAGGGUCGUAAAGCUCUUUCGCCAGGGAUGAUAAUGACAGUACCUGGUAAAGAAACCCCGGCUAACUCCGUGCCAGCAGCCGCGGUAAUACGGAGGGGGUUAGCGUUGUUCGGAAUUACUGGGCGUAAAGCGCACGUAGGCGGAUUAGAAAGUUAGAGGUGAAAUCCCAGGGCUCAACCCUGGAACUGCCUUUAAAACUCCUAGUCUUGAGUUCGAGAGAGGUGAGUGGAAUUCCAAGUGUAGAGGUGAAAUUCGUAGAUAUUUGGAGG
rnacentral:rRNA from 1 species